rnacentral:rRNA from 1 species
GAUGAACGCUGGCGGCGUGCCUAAUACAUGCAAGUCGAGCGAACGGACGAGAAGCUUGCUUUUCUGAUGUUAGCGGCGGACGGGUGAGUAACACGUGGAUAACCUACCUAUAAGACUGGGAUAACUUCGGGAAACCGGAUCUAAUACCGGAUAAUAUUUUGAACCGCAUGGUUCAAAAGUGAAAGACGGUCUUGCUGUCACUUAUAGAUGGAUCCGCGCUGCAUUAGCUAGUUGGUAAGGUAACGGCUUACCAAGGCAACGAUGCAUAGCCGACCGGAGAGGGUGAUCGGCCACACUGGAACUGAGACACGGUCCAGACUCCUACGGGAGGCAGCAGUAGGGAAUCUUCCGCAAUGGGCGAAAGCCUGACGGAGCAACGCCGCGUGAGUGAUGAAGGUCUUCGGAUCGUAAAACUCUGUUAUUAGGGAAGAACAUAUGUGUAAGUAACUGUGCACAUCUUGACGGUACCUAAUCAGAAAGCAACGGCUAACUACGUG